GACGAACGCUGGCGGCGUGCUUAACACAUGCAAGUCGAACGGAAAGGCCCUGGUUUUGUUGGGUGCUCGAGUUGCGAACGGGUGAGUAACACGUGAGUAACCUGCCCGUGACUUUGGGAUAACUUCAGGAAACUGGGGCUAAUACCGGAUAGGAGCUCCUGCUGCAUGGUGUUGGUUGGAAAGUUUCGGCGGUUGGGGAUGCACUCGCGGCUUAUCAGCUUGUUGGUGGGGUAGUGGCUUACCAAGGCUUUGACGGGUAGCCGGCCUGAGAGGGUGACCGGCCACAUUGGGACUGAGAUACGGGCCAGACGCAUACGGGAGGCAGCAGUGGGAAAUAGUGCACGCUGGGCGGCAGCCUGAUGGAGCAACGCCGCGUGCGGGAUGACGGCCUUCGGGGUGUAACCCGCUUUCGACUGUGACGAAGAGUGAGUGACGGUAAUGGGUCAAGAAGCAACGGCUAACUACGUG
rnacentral:rRNA from 1 species